rnacentral:rRNA from 1 species
CGUUUAGGGGUAAACCUGAGAAACCCGAAAGGUCGAAGGGUGAAAUUCAAAUGCUGCUAGCGGCCGGAGGCUGGUGGUCGAGCGACGGAAGACGUUCGCGUCAACCGCGCCCUCUACUAGUCGAGCCGGCUGCGAGCGCGUGCACUUUUCACCUGGUAGGACGCCGCGAUUCGUUGGGUGUCGGUCUACGGUGCGUGGAGGAGUCUGCCUGCCUUCCCUGGAAGACAAGCAGACCCAUGCUACCCGGCCGACUUGCUCGACGGUAUCUGAAUGGUUGCUGGCCGCUCCUCAGCGAGCGUUCGACUCGUGGCAAGCACGUCAGACCAGUCGGUGACCGGACCUAGUGCCGAUUCUGACUACUGGCGACUGUUGGCUGCGAUGUUUUCGAACAGACCAGGCUCUCAAAACCGAUCAGCGACGCUGUAGCUUUGGGUACUUUCAGGACCCGUCUUGAAACACGGACCAAGGAGUCUAGCAUGUGCGCGAGUCAUUGGGAUUCACUAAACCUAAAGGCGCAAUGAAAGUAAAGGUUUCUGCUUGCAGAGACCGAGGGAAGAUGGGUGGCUCGCCCUUAAAAGCGACCACUCAGCACUCCCGGGGCGUCUCAUUCUCAUUGCGAGAGGAGGCGCACCAUGAGCGUACACGCUGGGACCCGAAAGAUGGUGAACUAUGCCUGGU